rnacentral:rRNA from 1 species
GAUGAACGCUGGCGGCGUGCCUAAUACAUGCAAGUCGAGCGAACGGACGAGAAGCUUGCUUCUCUGAUGUUAGCGGCGGACGGGUGAGUAACACGUGGAUAACCUACCUAUAAGACUGGGAUAACUUCGGGAAACCGGAGCUAAUACCGGAUAAUAUUUUGAACCGCAUGGUUCAAAAGUGAAAGACGGUCUUGCUGUCACUUAUAGAUGGAUCCGCGCUGCAUUAGCUAGUUGGUAAGGUAACGGCUUACCAAGGCAACGAUGCAUAGCCGACCUGAGAGGGUGAUCGGCCACACUGGAACUGAGAAACGGUCCAGACUCCUACGGGAGGCAGCAGUAGGGAAUCUUCCGUAAUGGGCGAAAGCCUGACGGAGCAACGCCGCGUGAGUGAUGAAGGUCUUCGGAUCGUAAAACUCUGUUAUUAGGGAAGAACAUAUGUGUAAGUAACUGUGCACAUCUUGACGGUACCUAAUCAGAAAGCCACGGCUAACUACGUG